rnacentral:rRNA from 1 species
UACGUAGGGUGCAAGCGUUGUCCGGAAUUAUUGGGCGUAAAGAGCUCGUAGGCGGUUUGUCGCGUCUGCUGUGAAAUCCCAGGGCUUAACCCUGGGCCUGCAGUGGGUACGGGCAGACUAGAGUUCGGUAGGGGAGACUGGAAUUCCUGGUGUAGCGGUGAAAUGCGCAGAUAUCAGGAGGAACACCGGUGGCGAAGGCGGGUCUCUAGGCCGACACUGACGCUGAGGAGCGAAAGCGUGGGGAGCGAACAGG